CGGAACCUGAGGCCCAGAAAGAAGGACUUGGGGGUCACACGUGAGCUCGCGGCUGCCUCCAGGGGCCCAGGGCCGAGCUCCUGGCUGCCCCUCAGGCUGGGCUGGAGCAGGCAGCUGUGGCUGAAGCUGCUGCAGGACCCACCUCCACUGCCCAAGCCGUGGGGCCGCGCCAGGAUCUCCAGGAGGGGUGGCUGCUCCCCUCCAGAGUCCCUCCCUGGCCCCUCCAGGAUUAGCGGAUCCAGAGCAUGGUGAACCAAGAUGGAAAUUCUGGAACGGAUUUCUCACUGUGGCCCCUCUCCCCAGGCCGUGACACGAGGCCAUGGAGGAAGGCUUGGCGCAGAGAAGGAGCAUAGACUCCUCUGAGCUGCGACAACAAUUGCCUGACCUCCCCGCUUCUAGCCUGAAGCGUGUGUUGGUGAAGUUAGAAAACGCUUCCCAUUCCUCAAGACGCUUUACCGCCAUUUCCCGGGAAGUGACAGUCACCGGCAUACAAAAACUCUCUGACCUCGAAUAUGAACGACACGAUCUAGAGGUAGCCAGCCUGUGAUGUGACGUAAUGCAUCACACGUCUGAGUGUCCAGCUCAGAGGGGACACCCCAGAGCAGCCGCGCCCCUGCUCCUGGUUCAGAAGACGAACCCUCCAAACGACCUGCACUGCUCCUUGAUGCUCUGCGGCCGACAGCUUCCCUGGAGUUCCUGGCCUCGGCAGGGCUGGGGACAGCGUCCCUUUGGCCUUGGUGGGAUACCUCUGGGUCUCUGGGGGGCAAAGCUUGGGCACAGCAUAUCCCUCACCACAUGCAAAUGCACUCGCAGGACGGGGGACAUACCACCUGCAGGGCUGAGCUCUGAGCUGACCUCCUGACAAAGGACCAUGCAGGCGAAGACCUCCACAAACCACGGGUCGCCCCAGUCCAGGGGCCGGCAAGGCCUUCGUGUAUGUUUCCUUCGCUGAAAUAAAAGAGAAAAAACC
rnacentral:lncRNA from 1 species